AUUAUUCGCUUGUAUACCGAAGGACUGCUGUCGUUGCCUUGAGGUGCCGGUUCCUUUGGGUCCGUCGUCCUCAUGCUACGUCGGCGUCUUUGAGGAAUGC
rnacentral:misc_RNA from 1 species